rnacentral:rRNA from 1 species
AGCUUGCUACCUGACCUAGCGGCGGACGGGUGAGUAAUGCCUAGGAAUCUGCCUAUUAGUGGGGGACAACAUUCCGAAAGGAAUGCUAAUACCGCAUACGCCCUACGGGGGAAAGCAGGGGAUCUUCGGACCUUGCGCUAAUAGAUGAGCCUAAGUCAGAUUAGCUAGUUGGUGGGGUAAAGGCCUACCAAGGCGACGAUCUGUAGCGGGUCUGAGAGGAUGAUCCGCCACACUGGGACUGAGACACGGCCCAGACUCCUACGGGAGGCAGCAGUGGGGAAUAUUGGACAAUGGGCGAAAGCCUGAUCCAGCCAUGCCGCGUGUGUGAAGAAGGCCUUUUGGUUGUAAAGCACUUUAAGCGAGGAGGAGGCUACUUGGAUUAAUACUCUAGGAUAGUGGACGUUACUCGCAGAAUAAGCACCGGCUAACUCUGUGCCAGCAGCCGCGGUAAUACAGAGGGUGCGAGCGUUAAUCGGAUUUACUGGGCGUAAAGCGUGCGUAGGCGGCUUUUUAAGUCGGAUGUGAAAUCCCUGAGCUUAACUUAGGAAUUGCAUUCGAUACUGGGAAGCUAGAGUAUGGGAGAGGAUGGUAGAAUUCCAGGUGUAGCGGUGAAAUGCGUAGAGAUCUGGAGGAAUACCGAUGGCGAAGGCAGCCAUCUGGCCUAAUACUGACGCUGAGGUACGAAAGCAUGGGGAGCAAACAGGAUUAGAUACCCUGGUAGUCCAUGCCGUAAACGAUGUCUACUAGCCGUUGGGGCCUUUGAGGCUUUAGUGGCGCAGCUAACGCGAUAAGUAGACCGCCUGGGGAGUACGGUCGCAAGACUAAAACUCAAAUGAAUUGACGGGGGCCCGCACAAGCGGUGGAGCAUGUGGUUUAAUUCGAUGCAACGCGAAGAACCUUACCUGGUCUUGACAUAGUAAGAACUUUCCAGAGAUGGAUUGGUGCCUUCGGGAACUUACAUACAGGUGCUGCAUGGCUGUCGUCAGCUCGUGUCGUGAGAUGUUGGGUUAAGUCCCGCAACGAGCGCAACCCUUUUCCUUAUUUGCCAGCGGGUUAAGCCGGGAACUUUAAGGAUACUGCCAGUGACAAACUGGAGGAAGGCGGGGACGACGUCAAGUCAUCAUGGCCCUUACGACCAGGGCUACACACGUGCUACAAUGGUCGGUACAAAGGGUUGCUACCUAGCGAUAGGAUGCUAAUCUCAAAAAGCCGAUCGUAGUCCGGAUUGGAGUCUGCAACUCGACUCCAUGA